GCUCCGGUGGCAUAGUGGUUAGAACAUCCGCCUCAGAUGCGGGAGGUCGUGUGUUCGAUCCCCUGUCGAAUCA